rnacentral:lncRNA from 1 species
GGCGCGGCUUUGCCCGCGGCUUGUUUUUGGCACCCCGAGGCCCCUCGCAAAGGCUCGCCCCAUUCCGAGUCCGGGGGACAAACUUCGCCCGCGCCCCCCACCAAGGCUAUAGCCCACGACCCGUUUUUUGGCCAUUUUUCCGCUGGGGAGUUUUGGCACCACGAACUUCGGGCGCGGCUUUGCCCGCGGCUUAUUUUUGGCACCCCGAGGCCCCUC